rnacentral:lncRNA from 1 species
CUGCCUCACCUGGGGCACAUGGAAGUUCCCAGGCUAGGGGUCAAAUCAGAGCUGCAGCUGAGGGCUAUGCCACAGCAAUACAGGAUACAAGCCAUAUAUGUGACCUACACCACAGUUUGCAGCAAUGCUGGAUCCUUAACCCACUGAGUGAGGGCAGGGAUUGAACUCGUAUCCUCAUGGACCUAUGUCAGGUUCUUAACCCACUGAGCUCCAAUAGGAACUCCACAAAGUUGAAUCUUAAAUGAAAAUUUGUUUAACUGAGGUUAACAUGUAUGGAGUAUAUAUGAGGUUGGGUGGUAAGGGAGAAGGCUAUCAGAGAUAUUCCUGAAGCAGUAUGCAAUGGCCCAAUAACAAAAAUCCUGUAUGUCCUCUAAAGAGAGCACGAUAUAUAUCUUAUAAACAACAGAAACCUUUGAAAAAUCACAGGACCAUAGGUUUCCAUAAUAUCUAAACAAUGUACACACUUGGCUUUGUUCAACAAUGGUCAAACUAACAUUUCAUAUUUCAUUAUGUAUCUGACAAAAAAUUAACAUCACCAUUUUGGCCAACCUGUCUUAUAAUAAUGGGUAAAUGUUCUCCCAAAACAAGGGUCUCAGCCUCUAGCAAAAUUGAGCAGCAAUUCUACUACCUGAAGAGUAGGGCAGACACUAAAGAUACACCAAGUUUACCAAGGAAGCAUCAUCAAGAUUCUACUUGAAGAAUUCAUAGAUGCAUUUGUAUACACAAACAACAUCAAGUACAUAUAAUAUGUAGACAGCCUGUCAAAAGUUAUGUCCCCGUAAACUCACAAAAGUAAAUGUUAUACACAGACACAUCAUGGUACACCUCAAUCAGUAGUAUAAAAUCACUGUGAACUAGUCAGACUAUGCUUCAAAAGUAAAGCAGCCCAGUCUUAAGUUACAUAUAUAAAAGCUUCAUGCAGCUUAACACCACAUUUAUAAACUGGAGCUUUGCCCAGAAGGUCUGAGGUCAGGUAGUCCAAGGUUGGAUUCCAAAUUACUGAACUUAUAUAAAUUACUGAACUCUUUGAGUCUUAGUUUCCUUAUCUAUAAACCUGGGAUAAUUAUUUCUGCCCUAUAAUAAUGUUGUAAAGAUACAAUAAGAUAUAGAAAGCACUUAGCAUAGGGCUGAGCAAAUAUUAAUUAUUCAAGAAAUGGUGUCUUAUCAUAAUAGAUAGAACAGAAAUUAUCCUAGUUAUGACACUCAUGGGGGUUUUUGUUUGUUUGUUUUGGGGGGGGGUUGGGGUUUUUUUUUGGCUUUUUAUGGCUGCAUCCAUGGCAUAUGAAGGUUUCCAAGCUAGGGGUCAAAUCGGAGCUACAACUGCCAGCCUAUACCCAAGCCACAGUAACGCAGGAUCCAAGCUGCGUCUGCAAC